CCUACGGGCGGCAGCAGUGGGGAAUAUUGCACAAUGGGGGGAACCUUGAUGCAGCAACGCCGCGUGGGUGAAGAAGUACUCCGGUAUGUAAAGCCCUGUCAGCAGGGAAGAAAAUGACGGUACCUGACCAAGAAGCCCCGGCUAACUACGUGCCAGCAGCCGCGGUAAGACGUAGGGGGCAAGCGUUAUCCGGAUUUACUGGGUGUAAAGGGAGCGUAGACGGCAAGGCAAGGCUGGAGUGAAAGCCCGUGGCCCAACCACGGGACUGCUUUGGAAACUGUGUUGCUGGAGUGCAGGAGGGGGAAGCGGAAUUCCUAGUGUAGCGGUGAAAUGCGUAGAUAUUAGGAGGAACACCGGUGGCGAAGGCGGCUGUCUGGUCUGCAACUGACGCUGAGGCUCGAAAGCAUGGGUAGCGAACAGGAUUAGAUACCCCAGUAGUC
rnacentral:rRNA from 1 species